rnacentral:antisense_RNA from 1 species
UGCAGGAGCUGCCGAAGGCUGCGAUCUUUUGAUCUGAUUAACAGCAAAAUCAAAAUAUCGCAGCCUUCGGCAGCUCCUGCA